GAUGAACGCUAGCUACAGGCUUAACACAUGCGAGUCGAGGGGAAACGACAUCGAAAGCUUGCUUUUGAUGGGCGUCGACCGGCGCACGGGUGAGUAACGCGUAUCCAACCUGCCCACCACUUGGGGAUAACCUUGCGAAAGUAAGACUAAUACCCAAUGACGUCUCUAGAAGACAUCUGAAAGAGAUUAAAGAUUUAUCGGUGAUGGAUGGGGAUGCGUUUGAUUAGCUUGUUGGCGGGGUAACGGCCCACCAAGGCGACGAUCAGUAGGGGUUCUGAGAGGAAGGUCCCCCACAUUGGAACUGAGACACGGUCCAAACUCCUACGGGAGGCAGCAGUGAGGAAUAUUGGUCAAUGGACGAGAGUCUGAACCAGCCAAGUAGCGUGCAGGAUGACGGCCCUAUGGGUUGUAAACUGCUUUUAGAAGGGAAUAAAGUGAGUCUCGUGAGACUUUUUGCAUGUACCUUAUGAAUAAGGACCGGCUAAUUCCGUG
rnacentral:rRNA from 1 species